CCUACGGGAGGCAGCAGUAGGGAAUCUUCCACAAUGGACGAAAGUCUGAUGGAGCAACGCCGCGUGAACGAUGAAGGCUUUCGGGUCGUAAAGUUCUGUUGUAAGGGAAGAACAAGUGCCGCAGGCAAUGGCGGCACCUUGACGGUACCUUGCGAGAAAGCCACAGCUAACUACGUGCCAGCAGCCGCGGUAAUACGUAGGUGGCAAGCGUUGUCCGGAAUUAUUGGGCGUAAAGCGCGCGCAGGCGGCCUCUUAAGUCUGAUGUGAAAGCCCCCGGCUCAACCGGGGAGGGCCAUUGGAAACUGGGAGGCUUGAGUAUAGGAGAGAAGAGUGGAAUUCCACGUGUAGCGGUGAAAUGCGUAGAGAUGUGGAGGAACACCAGUGGCGAAGGCGACUCUUUGGCCUAUAACUGACGCUGAGGCGCGAAAGCGUGGGGAGCAAACAGGAUUAGAUACCCUGGUAGUCCACGCCGUAAACGAUGAGUGCUAGGUGUUGGAGGGUUUCCGCCCUUCAUUGCUGAAGCUAACGCAUUAAGCACUCCGCCUGGGGAGUACGGUCGCAAGACUGAAACUCAAAGGAAUUGACGG
rnacentral:rRNA from 1 species